AAGUCUGAUGGAGCACGCCGCGUGCAGGAUGAAGGCCUUAGGGUUGUAAACUGCUUUUAUAGGUGAAGAAUAUGACGGUAACCUAUGAAUAAGGGUCGGCUAACUACGUGCCAGCAGCCGCGGUCAUACGUAGGACCCAAGCGUUAUCCGGAAUUACUGGGCGUAAAGAGUUGCGUAGGUGGCAGAGUAAGUAGAGAGUGAAAGCGUUCGGCUCAACCGAAUAAACAUUUUCUAAACUGCUCAGCUAGAGAACGAGAGAGGUAGAUGGAAUUCCCAGUGUAGGAGUGAAAUCCGUAGAUAUUGGGAGGAACACCGAUGGCGUAGGCAGUCUACUGGCUCGUUUCUGACACUAAGGCACGAAAGCGUGGGUAGCAAACAGGAUUAGAUACCCUGGUAGUCCACGCCGUAAACUAUGGAUGCUAGCUGUUAGAAGUAUCGACCCUUCUAGUAGCGAAGCUAACGCGUUAAGCAUCCCGCCUGUGGAGUACGGUCGCAAGACUAAAACAUAAAGGAAUUGACGGGGACCCGCACAAGCGGUGGAGCGUGUUGUUUAAUUCGAUGAUAAGCGAAGAACCUUACCCAGACUUGACAUCCUUGGAAGCACUGCGAAAGCAGAGUGUGCCUUCGGGAACCAAGUG
rnacentral:rRNA from 1 species